rnacentral:rRNA from 1 species
AACGAACGCUGGCGGUGGGCCUAACACAUGCAAGUCGAACGGCAGCGCAGUAAUAGCUUGCUCUUACGGGUGGCGAGUGGCGGACGGGUGAGGAAUACAACGGAAUCUACUUUUUCGUGGAGCAUAACGUAGGUAAACUUACGCUAAUACAGCAUACGCCUUCCGAGUGAAAGCAUGGGAUCUUCUGGCCUUGCGCGAUUGAAUGCGCCGAUGUCGGAUUAGCUAGUUGGCGGGGUAAUUGCCAAGCAAGUCGACGGUCCGUAGCUGGUGUGAGUGGAUGAUCAGCCACACGGGAACUUGGACACGGUCCUAACUCCUACGAGAGGCAGCAGUGGCGAAUGUUGGGCAAUAGGCGGAAAUCUGGUCCAACCAUACCGCGUGAGUGAAGAAGGCCUUCGGGUUGUAAUGCCCGUUUUUGGGGAAAGAAAAGCAGCAGGUUGAUACCCCGCUGUUCUGACGGUAACGGAUGAAUAAGCACCGGCUAACUACGUG